CAGAGCCAAACGACCAUUUAGAUGUAGCAAAGGGUUCCCAUAGUGGAAACCCUAGCUGCCUCCUCUCUUCUUUCGCCUCUCUGACGUCACACGCCGGAAAUGGCAAAGAUAAGGGCCCGCAUGGGUUCCUCUAGACUUGGUAUAGCCGAGAAUGGCAAGAUCAUUAAGUGCUCUGCUAUUUCUCAACUAAAUAUGUCGAUGUGUCACCCAAACGAGUGUGUGGCUGAGUGUGGAGGAGCAAGGAGGCUGAUCCAAGUCCAUUCUCAACCAAGCUGCGCCAAAGAAAGGUAAUCUUUCUUCCUUUAAUUUAUUUUGUUUAAGGUUUUAUCUAUUCUUAAGUGUUAUAGUUAAUUUCUGCUAUGCUUAGUAUGUGUUCUUUUAGUUAACUCUCUGUUGUUGUUAGUCUAGCAUGAUUAGGAUAUAUUUGAUUGCUUCUAGUUAAUUAUUGGUUAGUAGUAGUUCAGUAUGAUUUAGCAUGUUGAUUGUUUUCAUUGUUUUAGGUUAAUUACUUAUAGAUGGUAGUUUAGCAUGACUUAGCAGGCUUUAAUUGCACUGUGGGUUAAUUGUUUGUUAAUGGUAGCUCAGCAUGAUUAGUGUGUAUUUGUUCACCGCUUAGUUAAUGCUUUGCUAGUGAUAGCUUAAUAUAGCAUAUGUUUCACUUAUUGUGAAAUCUUCUUGGUUUAAUGAGAUCAGUAUUGCCUUUAUUGAUCAAAUCAUGCUGUUAGUGAUAUUCUAAAUGGUUUAGUUUGUAUCUUGUGUGAUGUGCUAUGGAAGUUCAUUUAACCUUUUGUUUGCCUAUUGGGUUUGCUAUUACUGUGCCUUAUGGAUGUCAAUUUGUUGCUUGAAGUUCACUAUCAAACAUAAGUUUACCAUAUCUUAAAUACGUUUAAGAACCAGUUUAUGUGUAUCAUUUGAUUUUGAAUGAAAUGUCAACUUGUGUUUGUAUUGUUUGAACCCUCUAGGUAUGAGUUUACACCUAAAUGGGUCUCAGUUGAUUAAAGUGGCAUGACUAAUGACUUUCAAUAACAAAUUUGUCCAUUUUAGCUUAAUAUGGUACCACUAAGGUCCCUAUGCUGAUUUAUGGACCAUUUCUGAUAAGUGUUGGUAUUAGUAUGAGCUUGUCUGAUUCACUUAGCCCUCCUAGCAUGAUAAGAGUAAGGCUCAGAUGUUUUUUGAUAAGUCUAAACAAGGUUAAUGAGAGUCUGAACUUAACUUUGGUCACCUUUAGAAAGAUAGUAUCUCUGAAUGAAUGCCUUUUCUGCUUAAAAUGAUUUAGAAGACUAUCAUGUCACAUUAGUCUAAAAUUAAGGUUCAUCCAACAACUAGAAUGGUCUGAUAUGGAAUAUAGGACACAAACCUAAGAAGCCAACCUGGAAUAGCCUAGACCUACCAUUAAUGUCUCAUGAAUGAGUCAUAUGGGAACCUGUUUAGGUCUGGAAAAUGUUUGUAGGUAUGUGGUUGCCCAGUUUAAGUAUAAUGCCUCUGUGUCUGUGGAAUCUUGCCUAUUCUUUCUAAAUUUGAAUCAAAUAUAUGAUUGUUGUGCUGAUUGAUAUCAAACUCUACAUGUUUUUUCACUAAUAUGCUCAAUAUAUGUCUCCCUAUCAAUUUGUAGUAAGAGGUAUUGCAUAAAUGAGGGUCUAAAGUGAUGCUAAAUAGCUAGUAUGUGUGUCAUGAGAUCCUAUAUGAUUGUAUAAGUCCAAAAUGGCCAGUUGAAUAUUGACAUUCCUUUUCUUCUCUGCAUCUGAGCAUGUUUCCUUUUUUCUAAAUGGUUGUAUGCUGUCGUAGAGGCAUAACAUGAAUUGGCAAUGCAUUGUUUCCCUUUUAAAGUAUGGUCUGAACCUAGAAAAAAUGUUGGUGUCCUGUUUGUUUGUUAGCCCUUUAUGUAGAAGCUCAUGCUUAUUCUGAUUUCCUAUGGUUAUGAUAAGACUACAAAUAAGGGAUAAACUAUCUAGUAUGCAUAUCCAUUUGUCAAAUGAUUUUGAAUUUGUGUUUCUGCUCUCAUGUCUGCCUGCAUUCAGUUUGGCUUUGUCAAAUGCUCAUUGCUGCAUCUUUGUGAUCUUGUCGGUAUGUCUAAGCCUUGUGUGUUGUUUAAAUCUGUUUAAGUGACCCCCUCCCUUGCUUACUUAUCUUGCUUGCUUGUAUACGUAAUAUGGUGUUGGAAAUACACCAGAUAUACCAGGCUUGUAUACACUCUGGUGUAUAUAAAGAGGAUAUAUCUGGUGUAUCAUGCGCCUGUAUCUUACAAGACCUCUUUCUCCGUAAUUUAAAAUCAAGGCUUCGAGUAUAACUUUCUUGUGUGCUUAGUCUAUUUGGGCUUUGUUAAUGGGCUGCCUGAACCUGCUUACUACCUGAGUUCAUACAUGUUUAUUUCCUUGGGCCUUCAAGUGUCAUGAAGGUUUUUGCUUAAUCUUUUAUAAGUGCAUAUAUGUUUCUGUAUACACCUGAUAUACAUACGCUUAAUUCGAAUGUUUACUUGUUUAAGUUCUUGAUAAUAGAGUAAGUCAGUUUAGAUUCUUUCUAACUUGCAUAUUCCUUUUUCCUCUUUGUUUGCAUGGGACACCUCCUUUUGGGCCAAUUUCUAUUGCAUAAAACCUGUUGGUCCUGUGGCCCAACCCCUUCCUUGAUCGAGUCCGAAUCUGAGUAACGGAAGCAAAUAUGUUAAAGGCCCACCUAUGGGUAAAAAUAGGAAACUGGUGGGCUUAGGUAAGCCCACUAGCCCAACUCUUCUUAUAUAUAUGUGUGUGUGUGUGUGUUUCUGUAUAUCAUUGUAUAUAAGUUGUAUAUGUAAACAACACUUGUAAAUAUUGAAACCCUUUGUAUGCUUAGAACCUAGGAAAUACAUUAGUAUUAUUAGGAAGUCGUUUAAAUGAUUUUGAAACCUACUUAACUCUAAGAUAUGCAUGAAAUCGGUAUUCAA